CCUACGGGAGGCAGCAGUGAGGAAUAUUGGUCAAUGGCCGGAAGGCUGAACCAGCCAAGCCGCGUGAAGGACGAAGGUUCCAAGCAUUGUAAACUUCUUUUGUCAAGGGACAAAAUCAGGCUCGAGAGCCUGACCGAGGGUAUUUGAAGAAAAAGCAUCGGCUAACUCCGGGCCAGCAGCCACGGUAAUCCGGAGGGUGCGAGCGUAAUGCGGUUUUAUUGGGUUUAAAGGGUGCGUAGGCGGGUUGUUAGGUGAGCGGGAAAGGCCCGGGGUCAAACCCCGGCGAGCCGUUGAAACUGGGUGUCUUGAGAUGUCGAGAGGUAUGCGGAAUGCGCAGUGUAGCGGUGAAAUGCUUAGAUAUUGCGAAGAACUCCGAUUGCGAAGGCAGCAUACUGGCGGCGAUCUGACGCUGAGGCACGAAAGCGUGGGUAUCGAACAGGAUUAGAUACCCGUGUAGUC
rnacentral:rRNA from 1 species